UGCAGUCGAACGGCAGCACAGUAAGAGCUUGCUCUUAUGGGUGGCGAGUGGCGGACGGGUGAGGAAUACAUCGGAAUCUACCUUUUCGUGGGGGAUAACGUAGGGAAACUUACGCUAAUACCGCAUACGACCUUCGGGUGAAAGCAGGGGACCUUCGGGCCUUGCGCGGAUAGAUGAGCCGAUGUCGGAUUAGCUAGUUGGCGGGGUAAAGGCCCACCAAGGCGACGAUCCGUAGCUGGUCUGAGAGGAUGAUCAGCCACACUGGAACUGAGACACGGUCCAGACUCCUACGGGAGGCAGCAGUGGGGAAUAUUGGACAAUGGGCGCAAGCCUGAUCCAGCCAUACCGCGUGGGUGAAGAAGGCCUUCGGGUUGUAAAGCCCUUUUGUUGGGAAAGAAAAGCAGCUGGCUAAUACCCGGUUGUUCUGACGGUACCCAAAGAAUAAGCACCGGCUAACUUCGUGCCAGCAGCCGCGGUAAUACGAAGGGUGCAAGCGUUACUCGGAAUUACUGGGCGUAAAGCGUGCGUAGGUGGUUGUUUAAGUCUGUUGUGAAAGCCCUGGGCUCAACCUGGGAAUUGCAGUGGAUACUGGGCGACUAGAGUGUGGUAGAGGGUAGUGGAAUUCCCGGUGUAGCAGUGAAAUGCGUAGAGAUCGGGAGGAACAUCC
rnacentral:rRNA from 1 species